AUAGUUAAGUGGGAAACGAUGUGGGAAGGCAUAGACAGCUAGGAGGUUGGCUUAGAAGCAGCCACCCUUUAAAGAAAGCGUAAUAGCUCACUAGUCGAGUCGGCCUGCGCGGAAGAUGUAACGGGGCUAAAACUAUGUGCCGAAGCUGCGGAUGUAUACUUUGUAUACGUGGUAGGGGAGCGUUCUGUAAGCCGAUGAAGGUGUGUUGAGAAGCAUGCUGGAGGUAUCAGAAGUGCGAAUGCUGACGUGAGUAACGACAAAACGGGUGAAAAACCCGUUCGCCGAAAGACCAAGGGUUCCAGUCCAACGUUAAUCGGGGCUGGGUGAGUCGACCCCUAAGGCGAGGCCGAAAGGCGUAGUCGAUGGGAAAAUGGUUAAUAUUCCAUUACUUCUGUGUAAUGCGAUGAGAGGACGGAGAAGGCUAAAUCAGCCUGGCGUUGGUUGUCCAGGUGAAAGGAUGUAGGCAUGUAUCUUAGGCAAAUCCGGGGUACUCUAUGCUGAGAUCUGAUAGCAAGCUGUACUUGUACAGCGAAGUGGUUGAUGCCAUGCUUCCAGGAAAAGUCUCUAAGCUUCAGUUACACAGGAAUCGUACCCGAAACCGACACAGGUGGUCAGGUCGAGUAGACCAAGGCGCUUGAGAGAACUCUGCUGAAGGAACUAGGCAAAAUGGUACCGUAACUUCGGGAGAAGGUACGCUGUUGUUGGUGAUGGAACUCGCUUCCUGAGCUGACGACAGCCGCAGAAACCAGGCCGCUGCAACUGUUUAUUAAAAACAUAGCACUCUGCAAACACGAAAGUGGACGUAUAGGGUGUGAUGCCUGCCCGGUGCUGGAAGGUUAAUUGAUGGGGUUAGCGUAAGCGAAGCUCUUGAUCGAAGCCCCAGUAAACGGCGGCCGUAACUAUAACGGUCCUAAGGUAGCGAAAUUCCUUGUCGGGUAAGUUCCGACCUGCACGAAUGGCAUAAUGAUGGCGGCGCUGUCUCCAGCAGAGGCUCAGUGAAAUCGAAAUCGCUGUGAAGAUGCAGUGUACCCGCGGCUAGACGGAAAGACCCCGUGAACCUUUACUGCAGCUUGACACUGAACUUUGACCUUACUUGUGUAGGAUAGGUGGGAGGCUUUGAAGCUGGAACGCUAGUUCCAGUGGAGCCGUCCUUGAAAUACCACCCUGGUAAUGUUGAGGUUCUAACUCUGUCCCGUGAUCCGGGACGAGGACCGUGUCUGGUGGGUAGUUUGACUGGGGCGGUCUCCUCCUAAAGAGUAACGGAGGAGUACGAAGGUGCGCUCAGCGUGGUCGGAAAUCACGCGUAGAGUAUAAAGGCAAAAGCGCGCUUAACUGCGAGACCCACAAGUCGAGCAGGUACGAAAGUAGGUCUUAGUGAUCCGGUGGUUCUGUAUGGAAGGGCCAUCGCUCAACGGAUAAAAGGUACUCUGGGGAUAACAGGCUGAUACCGCCCAAGAGUUCAUAUCGACGGCGGUGUUUGGCACCUCGAUGUCGGCUCAUCUCAUCCUGGGGCUGAAGCAGGUCCCAAGGGUAUGGCUGUUCGCCAUUUAAAGAGGUACGCGAGCUGGGUUUAGAACGUCGUGAGACAGUUCGGUCCCUAUCUACCGUGGGCGCUGGAAAUUUGAGAGGAUCUGCUCCUAGUACGAGAGGACCAGAGUGGACGAACCUCUGGUGUACCGGUUGUGACGCCAGUCGCAUCGCCGGGUAGCUAUGUUCGGAAGGGAUAACCGCUGAAAGCAUCUAAGCGGGAAGCCUACCUCAAGAUAAGAUUUCCCUAGGACUUUAUGUCCUCUAAAGAGCCGUUCGAGACUAGGACGUUGAUAGGUUGGAUGUGGAAGCAUAGUGAUAUGUGAAGCUGACCAAUACUAAUUGCUCGUGAGGCUUGACUAU
rnacentral:rRNA from 1 species